rnacentral:rRNA from 1 species
AGUGAACGCUGGCGGCAGGCCUAACACAUGCAAGUCGAGCGGCAGCGCGGGGCAACCUGGCGGCGAGCGGCGGACGGGUGAGGAAUUCGUCGGAAUCUGCCUUUUUGUGGGGGAUAACGUAGGGAAACUUACGCUAAUACCGCAUACGACCUACGGGUGAAAGUGGGGGACCGCACGGCCUCACGCAGAAAGAUGAGCCGACGACCGAUUAGCUAGUUGGUAGGGGAAAGGCCUACCAAGGCGACGAUCGAUAGCUGGUCUGAGAGGAUGAUCAGCCACAAUGGGAGUGAGACACGGCCCAGAAGCAUACGGGAGGCAGCAGGGGGGAAUAUUGGACAAGGGGCGCAAGCCGGUUCCAGCAAUGCCGGGUGUGUGAAGAAGGCCUUCGGGUUGUAAAGCACUUUUGUCCGGAAAGAAAUCUUCCAACUUAAUACGUUGGGAGGAUGACGGUACCGGAAGAAUAAGCACCGGCUAACUUCGUGCCAGCAGCCGCCGCCGUAA